GAAGGACGCCUAUUCCAUUGUCCGCGGAAGGAAGAGGAAAGAAAGGGCGAGGUUCUCUGUGGGGCGUGGGCCAGGUGGCAGGAAACGGAGGACGUGCCUGUCUAAUGGCCCAGUUGGUUUUUUUGUUUGUUUUGUUUUGUUUACUGAGAGAACUCACCCUGAUCUUCUUCAGGACCACACACAGUCAGGUGAGGUGGGACGUACUGGAAAUGACUGGAAUCGGUUCCUGCAAGGGCACACUGUUUUGGCAAGCGGCCAGAACAAGGAAACCAAGAAGGCACCUGCAUCGGUACUUCCGGGGAGCAUCCCAAGCACCCAGGUGGGUCUUGAACUCUCCGUGCAGCUUGGACUUCUGCUCUUCCUGCCCCCACAGAACUCACGUGGCUCUCUGAUUACUCAGACUCCCUCUGGCUAAGGAAGUCUCUGCACAGCCCUGAAGAGUGUCCUGGAACUGUCGUUACAGGUGGUUGUGAGCUGCCUGAGGUGGGAGCUGGGAACCGAAUCCUGGUCCUCUCGAGGAGCAACAUGUGCUCUUAAUCACGGGGCCGUCUCUCCGGUUCCACCUCUAGAUGUUUCUAAGUCGGCAUCCAUCCGUAGUUGCGAAUGUCUGCUGACACUGGGCAUCCCUCAAGGUGGCAGACGCCCUCUGAUUCCUCUGUCUGGAGUGCCUUCUAUUGAAGCUCCAUGGUCCAUUAGAACCCAACCCUAUGUUUGUCGCCUCAGCCGCUUAGGUCAAAAGCUGGGAGUGGUCUCCAACUGCUGCCCUGAGAGUUCCCCCACUUACCUCCUCUCUGCCGCAUCCACCCAGCCUCCAAUCCCUCUCACCUGCACAGGCCGAGUAGCACACGGCCUGGUCUCUCUGCUUUCCAUACCCACUCAACCCCUCCACCUCCCCCAAGCCAAGCCCAUUCUCCAUGUAGCAGCUUAAAGUUCAAAACAGCACCUUGUCAGAAGCUGCCUAAAACCUAUCUAUGUCCUCGCUGGAAUUAUACUAAGUUCCAAAUGCCCCAGGCAACCAGCAUCUAGAUCUUCCUCCACCCUUACCUUUCCACAGUCUUCUGUCUCAGACCCCUUGCUUUGAUGUCCUCAACAUGGUUGGCGCCUUUGCACCCCAGGGGCUUGGUCAUUGCUGUUCCCUCACCCUGCCCAAGUCAUCCCUCCAGUCACCUUCUCCGAACUGUGCAUUCUCUUCUUGUCUCUGCCAUUCUCACACUGCGUGCGAGCAUCUUUUGCUGUUGAAUAGCCUUCAUGUUUUUUUUUUAAUUUACGUUUUGUAUUCAGAAUACAAGUCUGUCUCCAACAACUUGAGUGUCAGCUCUGAUGAGGAAGAAUAUUCAGCCAUGUAACCCCCUGCCCCCUCCAUUAGAACUCUUAUAGAAGGAAGGAAUGUGUCUCCCAGAGGAUUCAUGAGGGCAGGGACCUUUCUACCUGGUCAGCCACCGUACUAAUCUGGUGUCUGGUGCACGUGAUGGGAUUACUCAGGAGCAGGCCGAACAGAUGAGAUCAUCUUCAAACCUAAUUCUAGGACUUCGGCACCCAUCAUUUCUUUCUCUUCAGACUUGAAAUUUGUCUCAUUUCUCAGCUUUGAGACAGUACACAGCUGAAACCAAAAAACUGUGGAAUAUUUGCGGGAAAAGACUAUCAUGGUCAAGUCCUAGGAGAUAGGCUUCUGAGCUCAGGGCAUAGGAUCUGGAAUUAGGAAGACCUAUCACUGCAUUAAAAAAGAAUGCUGGGCUCUCUGUGUUUCAACGGGGUUGGGGUGAGGGGGGAGCUGCAGGCAUCCUUAGGGAUGCCCAGGUCUUCCUCCUGCCUUAGUGAGCCCCUGGCCUCUCAAAUACCCUUCAGUAUCUGCUAAGCCCACCUGAGGGGGAAUCUGUUUGCUCUGCUCAUCGGGAGGGGCCUCUCUUGUGUUUAUAUCACCUUUUAACAGAUUUAUUUAUUUUAAAGUGUGUGUGAGAGGGGGGAGGGGGAGGGAAGAGAGAGACAGAGAUGAGAGAGAGAGAGAGAGAGAGAGAGAGAGAGAGAGAGAGAGAGAGAGAGAGUCCUUCAGAGGCCAGAAGAGGGCAUUAGAUCUUGGAGUUAGAGUUACAGGAUGUUGACAACCAGCCAUCACACCAAACUCAGGUCUUCUGCAAGGGCACUAUUGGCAUCUUGUCUAUAAAAACACAACAGGCAGGACUUGCCCUCAGUGGCUAUGCUACCUCUCCAGCCCCUACUUAUAUAGUCUUUGAACUCACACUGGAAUUCUUUAAAGUUUUUAAAACAUACCUAAUGUCUGUAGGAUUCACAACUCUUGGUGAGAGGUUUAAGCCCUUGCACCUGUUCAUUACCAGGCCCUCCACUCUCUCUAGUUCAGAUUCUCAGCCUGCAUGGGCCUGGUCUUAGUCUCCAUGGCCUCUCCCACAGAGUCCUUGGUGUUUUGAGACAGGGUCUCCUCCUUACCGUGUCCUUAAAUUCAUGAUCCUUCUGCUUCUACCUCCCUGGUGCUGGGAUUAGGGCUGUGUGUACCAACGCACUCCAUUUAUGCAGUGCUGGGGAUGGAGACCAGAGCGUUGUACAUGCUAAGCACACAAUCUACCCACUGAACCACAUGCCCAGCCUAGCCCUGUCUGCCUUGAGUCUUUCCUGGCAAGCCUUGUUCCCAGCUAGGGCAGCAUUCUGCCUCCUGCACCAGGAGCAAUGCUUCCCCACAGGGACAGGUGUCCCUUGUUGGGGACUCAGAUCCACCACCAUCCUACCAGACUCCACUUCCCCCUCUCAUGUCUUUCCUGGCCUCAGUCUUACUCAGCUCCUGGGUCUUGGUUCAAACAUCACUCCCAGAUUCUAUGACGCCCGCACCACAGUGAGCUGGGCGCCCCACCUCUAGGCUCCCUUCUGAACUCUCACAAUGGCAACAGUGGCAUGUAACCCUCUGGUUCUGACUUGUCAGUGCCUGCGCCUGCUUCCUUCACCAGCGGGAGAGCCCACUGAGGGCAGGGACCAGAGCUGAGUCAGUUAUUUCCUCAGCAUCCUAGGUUGGGCCAGGCUCUGCGAGAUGUUAAGAAAUGUCUGCAACCAAGAUUCUUAUCAUCCCCUGCUGGGAGCGCUUCAGGGCUUGCUUCUGCAUCUCAACCCCUGCCCCUCACACUCUCUCCUCUAUCGCCUCUGUCCUGUCCUCCAGUCUCAGAUUCUAGGCUCGCCAUUCCCUCCUCCAGGAGCACUUUCCAGCAGUCAGCCAAGCACUGUCCCACUUUGCCUGGUUCUCUGCUGGGAUAGGGCAGUCUCCCUCAGGCCACUCCUUUUCUGCUUAAAUGGACAGGAUGCAAUCCCCACCGACACCUGUCAGAUUACAUUCCGCUGUGUGUACCUUCUCUUUACCUCUUC